UUAAUGACAGCUUUUACGUCAUUUCACGAUUUCAGUCACCUGACAGGUGGGAUCGAAAGGUGUAAAGGCGGAGCGUGUUUAAGGAGACUCUGAGAAACAAGAGAAGAUACAUUUCACAGAACACAAUAAUAAAGCAAAGUACACCAGGACAGAGAAAAAAAUAUAUACUGUAUUAAAUUAUAGUUUGUAUUUAUUUAUUUAUAUAUUUGUUCAUUUAUUUAUGUGUUCGUUUAUUUAUUUUCAUGUUAUUUCGGUAGCCGCUUCAUUUCCGUAACAUUCCUCAUACUGUCAGAAUCGUGGUUUUGCGACUGUUCUCAUCCUUCCUGGUCAUUUCUUAUGUUUGCUCGGAACUUGACAAACAGUCGGAAAACUGAAACUCCGCCACAAAAGCCCGCCCGACGAUCUGAAAAGCUUUGAUAUUCAAGCAAGUAAGUGGAAAGACAGUGGCGAGCAUGCGCAGUACAAAAAGAAGCAAAAACUGACGAGAAUCAAAAAUUGAGUGAACACCGGAACACAAACCUGUCCUUGUUUUCUGUUUUAGCUCGUUUAAAAAGAGAGAUCAAGAGACUGAUAAGAGAAAAGGAGGAUCUUCAGAAGAAUUAUGGCAAGAUUAAUACUUUCAUCUCAAUAUUCUUUUUCUUAAACUAUUGUAUUGAAUCACAUGAGUUCAUGAGCUCAAAUAUAAACUAAACUUUUCACUCUUUUCUGUUUUAGACAGUUUGAAAGGCAAGAAUGAGAGACUGGGGAAAGAAAUGGAGGAUCUUCAGAAGAAUUAUGG